GGCGGGCUGAAGUGAGUUGGUCAGACAGGCCUUGCCAAAGCCACAGGCUGUUCUGCUGCUUUGCUGCCGCUGUGGUGUUUUGAUGUGCGCUGCUGUGCAGAUGCAGUUUUUGGGCGAUCACCAACAAGCUACCAUACAGGAGGAGACUCUGGUAAAGUAAGGGAUAUCUUUCAAGAUCAGUUGAAUGCCCACGUUUGCAGAUGGAAAUGCAUGACCAAGCCUUCAGACGACCUCGCACCAUGUUGAUCGGCUUACACAACAAGUCCAUAAUGAGACGAAGUAAGAAAAUCCUGCUCCAGUGCCACAAGUCAUGGGGGAAGACAGGGCUUUGGAAGGAGAAAGAAAACCUUUGUUAUUUUCUGUCCAUGGAGAAGUAUGUGAAGGCAUAAAUUCAUAAUGUCUCUCCAAGAAACUUAUAUGUUGUUGGGAAAGCUAUUUUAAAAAACUAGCUUGCCAAGGUAAGACACAUUUAAACUAGUUAAACUCUAUAAGAUAGCAAGCAAUAAGCAGAUAUUGACUGAAGCUACUUAAAAGUGUAGUAAAACCCCCAAAAAACUGAAAAUUCUAUCAUUAUUUACUCAC
rnacentral:lncRNA from 1 species